rnacentral:rRNA from 1 species
CCUACGGGUGGCAGCAGUGGGGAAUAUUGGGCAAUGGGCGCAAGCCUGACCCAGCAACGCCGCGUGAAGGAAGAAGGCUUUCGGGUUGUAAACUUCUUUUCUCAGGGACGAAGCAAGUGACGGUACCUGAGGAAUAAGCCACGGCUAACUACGUGCCAGCAGCCACGGUAAUACGUAGGUGGCAAGCGUUAUCCGGAUUUACUGGGUGUAAAGGGGGUGUAGGCGGGACUGCAAGUCAGAUGUGAAAACCACGGGCUCAACCUGUGGCCUGCAUUUGAAACUGUAGUUCUUGAGUACUGGAGAGGCAGAUGGAAUUCCUGGUGUAGCGGUGAAAUGCGUAGAGAUUAGGAGGAACACCAGUGGCGAAGGCGGUCUGCUAGACAGCAACUGACGCUGAGGCGCGAAAGCGUGGGGAGCAAACAGGAUUAGAUACCCCAGUAGUC